rnacentral:misc_RNA from 1 species
GAUGAAGAACGUAGCGAAAUGCGAUAAGUAGUGUGAAUUGCAGAAUUCAGUGAAUCAUCGAAUCUUUGAACGCACAUUGCGCCCCUUGGUAUCCCGAGGGGCAUGCCAGUUCGAGCGUCAUUUCACCACUCAAGCCUGGCUUGGUGUUGGGCGACGUCCUCUUUGGGGACGCGCCUCGAAACGCUCGGCGGCGUGGCACCGGCUUUAAGCGUAGCAGAAUCUUUCGCUUUGGAAGUCGGGGCCCCGUCUGCCGGAAGACCUGCUCGCAAGGUUGACCUCGGAUCAGGCAGGGAUACCCGCUGAACUUAAGCAUAUCAAUAAGCGGAGGA